AUGAACAUCGCGCUCCUCUCCCGCUGGCUCUGGCGCAUCGCCCAGGGCCAUGGCGGCCUCUGGUUGGACAUUAUCCGGACUAAAUACCUUCGGGGUCAACCCCUUGCCUUCUGCCAGAGAUCGGGCGGCUCCCAGUUCUGGCAGUCCACUGUUCAGCUUCUCCCAGUGCUGCGCAUUGGGACCUCCAUCUCCGUGGGCUCUGGCCUCUCGACUCUCUUCUGGUAUGAUCGUUGGGCUGGUGACUCCCCCUUCGCGGCCCGCUUCCCCGUCCUUUUCUCUAUUUCCGUUGACCCCAUGAUAUCGGUCAAUAGGGCCCUUCUUGAUCUGGGGCGCCUUGCCUUCCGUCGACCGUUUGGGCCGGCGGAAUCCGCCGCCUGGCGUGAGUUGCUUGACUGUGUCGCAUUGCACGAGCCACUGGUGGAUGACAGGCCGGACCGUACCCGGUGGCGGCUCGAGCCGUCGGGCUUGUUCACCACCAAGUCGCUAUAUUCGGCCAUCGCCCCUUCCUCCGCACCCCUCCCCUUAUCGAUGAUCUGGAUCGUUCGGGUGCCACUGAAGAUUCGCAUCUUCAUGUGGCAAUGGAUCCGUGGUAGGCUUCCGUCUGGUGUGGAGGUCCGCAAGCGCAAUGGCCCAGGCACCGGUAUCUGCCCGCUCUGUGGUGUCCCGGAGGACUCAAACCACAUCUUCUUCUCCUGCAUCUCCUCACAAUUCCUCUGGAGCUGCGUUCGCGAGGUGGUUGGAGGGAAUUGGUGCCACACCAACUUCCCGGACCUUUUUGCUGAACUCCAACUGUCCCCUGUAUCCUCUCACCACAUUAGGUGGCUGGAAGUUGGGGUGCUUGCUUGGACGUUGUGGACCGUUCGCAAUAAACUUGUGAUCCAGCGCGCUCCCCUUCGUCGCCCUACUGACGCUCUCUUCAAAUUCUCGGGUUUCUUGCAGCUUUGGCGGCCGCUUAGUCGCCCCUCGGACCGUGACGCCAUCUCCGCCUUCAUCGCCGACAUCCGAUCGAUGGCCGUCCGCCUUUCGCCGCCGCCGCCGCCGCCACCGCCGGAGCCCGAUUAG
rnacentral:rRNA from 1 species